GUGCUCGCUUUGGCAGCACAUAUACUAAAGUAGGAAGGAUACAGAGAUUAGCAUGGCCUCUACACAAGGAUGACAUGCAAAUCCAUGAAGUGUUCCAUAUUUUU
ensembl:snRNA U6 U6 spliceosomal RNA